rnacentral:lncRNA from 1 species
AAGCUUAACAUCACUUCUCAAAUGCUCUCUUAACUAUACUAUUCCCCUUAAAUACCAUACUCAUUUGAUUCAACUUAUAAUUCUCAUAUUGGCACUGUGAAAUCUUUCUACUAAGGUCUAAACUAAACUAAGUUCUCUCAUCAUGAUCAAGCCUAACACUAAAUCACAAGAUACAACAUGUCAAACCACAAUACUAGUCUAAACCACAAGGUUCAAUAUUCUAUAUCUUCUUAGAGCUCACACCCUAAGCAUAACAUGCCUUACCACUUCAAUGACUAAUUUAAAACUCUUGAUAUGGAUUCACUAGUGCAUAUUGCAUUCAU